rnacentral:rRNA from 1 species
AGUGAACGCUGGCGGUAGGCCUAACACAUGCAAGUCGAACGGCAGCACAGUAAGAGCUUGCUCUUACGGGUGGCGAGUGGCGGACGGGUGAGGAAUACAUCGGAAUCUACUUUUUCGUGGGGGAUAACGUAGGGAAACUUACGCUAAUACCGCAUACGACCUACGGGUGAAAUCAUGGGAUCUUCGGACCUUUCGCGAUUGAAUGAGCCGAUGUCGGAUUAGCUAGUUGGCGGGGUAAAGGCCCACCAAGGCGACGAUCCGUAGCUGGUCUGAGAGGAUGAUCAGCCACACUGGAACUGAGACACGGUCCAGACUCCUACGGGAGGCAGCAGUGGGGAAUAUUGGACAAUGGGCGCAAGCAUGAUCCAGCAAUACCGCGUGGGUGAAGAAGGCCUUCGGGUUGUAAAGCCCUUUUGUUGGGAAAGAAAAGCAGCAGGUUAAUACCCCGCUGUUCUGACGGUACCCAAAGAAUAAGCACCGGCUAACUUCGUG